rnacentral:rRNA from 1 species
CCACCACUAAGCCAGUGGUGAACUCCACAUACGCAUCCUUUGCUGAGGAUACGGUUAACGGAGCGAAAGCGACGUUCAACCGCAAAAGAAGCAGAGGGGGCUUAGUGGUGGGGUGACUGCGUACCUUUUGUAUAAUGGGUCAGCGACUUAUAUUCUGUAGCAAGGUUAACCGAAUAGGGGAGCCGGAGGGAAACCGAGUCUUAAUUGGGCGUUAAGUUGCAGGGUAUAGACCCGAAACCCGGUGAUCUAGCCAUGGGCAGGUUGAAGGUUGGGUAACACUAACUGGAGGACCGAACCGACUAAUGUUGAAAAAUUAGCGGAUGACCUGUGGCUGGGGGUGAAAGGCCAAUCAAACCGGGAGAUAGCUGGUUCUCCCCGAAAGCUAUUUAGGUAGCGCCUCGUGAAUUCAUCUCCGGGGGUAGAGCACUGUUUCGGCUAGGGGGCCAUCCCGGCUUACCAACCCGAUGCAAACUGCGAAUACCGGAGAAUGUUAUCACGGGAGACACACGGCGGGUGCUAACGUCCGUCGUGAAGAGGGAAACAACCCAGACCGCCAGCUAAGGUCCCAAAGUCAUGGUUAAGUGGGAAACGAUGUGGGAAGGCCCAGACAGCCAGGAUGUUGGCUUAGAAGCAGCCAUCAUUUAAAGAAAGCGUAAUAGCUCACUGGUCGAGUCGGCCUGCGCGGAAGAUGUAACGGGGCUAAACCAUGCACCGAAGCUGCGGCAGCGACGCUGAUGCGUUGUUGGGUAGGGGAGCGUUCUGUAAGCCUGCGAAGGUGACCUGUGAGGGUUGCUGGAGGUAUCAGAAGUGCGAAUGCUGACAUAAGUAACGAUAAAGCGGGUGAAAAGCCCGCUCGCCGGAAGACCAAGGGUUCCUGUCCAACGUUAAUCGGGGCAGGGUGAGUCGACCCCUAAGGCGAGGCCGAAAGGCGUAGUCGAUGGGAAACGGGUUAAUAUUCCCGUACUUGGUGUUACUGCGAAGGGGGGACGGAGAAGGCUAUGUUGGCCGGGCGACGGUUGUCCCGGUUUAAGCGUGUAGGUGUGUGUUCCAGGUAAAUCCGGUUCACUUUAACACUGAGGCGUGACGACGAGGCACUACGGUGCUGAAGCAACAAAUGCCCUGCUUCCAGGAAAAGCCUCUAAGCAUCAGGUAACAUCAAAUCGUACCCCAAACCGACACAGGUGGUCAGGUAGAGAAUACCAAGGCGCUUGAGAGAACUCGGGUGAAGGAACUAGGCAAAAUGGUGCCGUAACUUCGGGAGAAGGCACGCUGACACGUAGGUGAAGUGAUUUACUCACGGAGCUGAAGUCAGUCGAAGAUACCAGCUGGCUGCAACUGUUUAUUAAAAACACAGCACUGUGCAAACACGAAAGUGGACGUAUACGGUGUGACGCCUGCCCGGUGCCGGAAGGUUAAUUGAUGGGGUCAGCGCAAGCGAAGCUCCUGAUCGAAGCCCCGGUAAACGGCGGCCGUAACUAUAACGGUCCUAAGGUAGCGAAAUUCCUUGUCGGGUAAGUUCCGACCUGCACGAAUGGCGUAAUGAUGGCCAGGCUGUCUCCACCCGAGACUCAGUGAAAUUGAACUCGCUGUGAAGAUGCAGUGUACCCGCGGCAAGACGGAAAGACCCCGUGAACCUUUACUAUAGCUUGACACUGAACAUUGAGCCUUGAUGUGUAGGAUAGGUGGGAGGCUUUGAAGUGUGGACGCCAGUCUGCAUGGAGCCGACCUUGAAAUACCACCCUUUAAUGUUUGAUGUUCUAACGUGGACCCGUUACCCGGGUUGCGGACAGUGUCUGGUGGGUAGUUUGACUGGGGCGGUCUCCUCCUAAAGAGUAACGGAGGAGCACGAAGGUUGGCUAAUCCUGGUCGGACAUCAGGAGGUUAGUGCAAUGGCAUAAGCCAGCUUGACUGCGAGCGUGACGGCGCGAGCAGGUGCGAAAGCAGGUCAUAGUGAUCCGGUGGUUCUGAAUGGAAGGGCCAUCGCUCAACGGAUAAAAGGUACUCCGGGGAUAACAGGCUGAUACCGCCCAAGAGUUCAUAUCGACGGCGGUGUUUGGCACCUCGAUGUCGGCUCAUCACAUCCUGGGGCUGAAGUAGGUCCCAAGGGUAUGGCUGUUCGCCAUUUAAAGUGGUACGCGAGCUGGGUUUAGAACGUCGUGAGACAGUUCGGUCCCUAUCUGCCGUGGGCGCUGGAGAACUGAGGGGGGCUGCUCCUAGUACGAGAGGACCGGAGUGGACGCAUCACUGGUGUUCGGGUUGUCAUGCCAAUGGCACUGCCCGGUAGCUAAAUGCGGAAGAGAUAAGUGCUGAAAGCAUCUAAGCACGAAACUUGCCCCGAG